rnacentral:piRNA from 1 species
UGAUAUUCAGCAGUCAACUUAGGACAUGGUC